rnacentral:sRNA from 1 species
AAAUCACUACAACAUGGUUUGACAUUACUGUAGGGACAAAGUUGACCAUUCUUUUCUGCUCAGGAUCAAGAACUGACCGUACCUUGUCAAGGUGCCGUUACAUACCAACAAUUCUUUCAUGCUUGGAGUUCCUUCUUCUGUUAAACUGGCCUGUUUCAGGUGUUCAGUAGCCAGAAUAGGUGAAUAACACGUGCAGAAAAAUAGGCCUGACUGCUCAACAUUCAGCUACUAUAUAUGGCUAUACAAAUAUGCAUUUGGUCUUCCGGUCCUUUGCGUUAUAUCCAAUUUAAUCAUUCAAUAAGGCAUUGUGUGUACUGUUAUGUGCAUGAAGUUAGAACUCUGAACUUGUACCUUUUUUACACUCUACCCUGAACAAGUGAACAUUGAACACCGGGUUUUG